GGAGGAAUGGCAGAGUGGUCGAUUGCGGCGGUCUUGAAAACCGUUGAGGUGCAAGCCUCCGGGGGUUCGAAUCCCUCUUCCUCCGCCA
rnacentral:tRNA from 1 species